rnacentral:misc_RNA from 1 species
AAGUCGUAACAAGGUUUCCGUAGGUGAACCUGCGGAAGGAUCAUUAGAGAUUGGCCUCCGGCCGUGUCUAUUCCACACACACACUGUGAACUGUACGUCUCGGGGCUCCAGGGCCCUGGGCGCAAACACCAAAAACAUCAGUGUAAUGAAUGUAAAUUAUUGUAACAAAAACAAAACUUUCAACAACGGAUCUCUUGGCUCUC